ensembl:lncRNA
GGCACCGCUUCAUGCGCGCUUGACGCAGGAUCUCGCUUUCCAAACCCGUACCGGAUUCAGGAGCCCGGCGGAGAGCAGCACGAUGCGCAGCGCCCAUAGGGCUGCUCCCGUCCUUCGCUCUCCCCGGGCUCUCCCCCACGCGGCCGUCGGCCCAGGGACGUCGGAAGGAGCCGACCGAACGGCCCCUCGCCGCCCACAGUGCGUCCAUGCGCGCACCGCUCCUCCCCGGCGGGGCGCAAAAAGCGCGCAGCCACCGCACGCGUGCUCGCCUCGCUUCUCCACCGCCGGGCUUCCUAGAAGCGCUUACAAACCGCUCCCUCCAACAAAACGAAAGGAAGGCAAGAAGCAGGCGCCGCGCACCCCAGAAUCGCUCCAGAAAGAGAUGAAUGGCACACAAGGAACGGCUUCUGCCUUACGGGCAUUACUAAAACCCUCACCUCGCCCAUGCGCCCCUACGGCACGCAGGUCAACCGGUGAGCGCUGUGCUUCAGCUCCCUUUCUGCGCCCCGAAGACACGCACGUGGCCACGCGCGGCAGCAGGAAACACCAUGAGGCAGAACCGGAAGGACUGCGGGGCUGCAUGCCACGGCCACGCCAAUCCCAACUUCUGGGCAGGAAACGUAUGCCAUGGCAGAGCGCUGAAGAUGACUCAAAUCGCCUCUCCCCCACCCUCCGGUGCCACGGAACAACAGCCCUCUUCAGCCAGGGGAGGGGGACCACGUGGAGGGAUGACUCAAAGCUCUGGGAUAGGGGAAAAACCCACAGAGCAGAGCACACAGCCCACCCCCCCAAACUCACACCGCCUCAUGUUAUAUUAAUUAAACACACAACAACUGCCUUGAGGUAAUAAACACUACAAAGGCAAAGCCAUCUCGUCCUACCGCAAGAUAAGUUUACUGAGGUCAAACCCCAGGGAAAACUAAUCUAACCACAUUUUCAAAUUGUUUGGAAUAUUCCAUAGCCCAACAAAACCAUAAAUUGACAAAAACAUCCUAUCCUAGAAUAGCGUGGGGAUAACAAAGAAUGUUUUGUUUAAUUAAAGGCAGAUGACCUAAUAAAAGUUUCACACUCACAGUGCGCAAAUAAAUCUUCGUCUUUGUUUUACAUCUAUUGCUUUUUUUUUUUUUUUUUAAAGAAAACAAUCCUGUGUUUAUUUCCUUAAGAUGGUAUAUUUUGGCUUUGAUUAAAGUGAUUUCAUUAAAUAUAUCAGAAUACUUGAAAAUUGUGGUCUUUACCUUGUCAUGAGCUUCAAGCAGGUACGCAACUUCAAAUUACAAGUAGCCAGAUCGACUUAUCAACUUAUCCAUCUUCUUGAGGGCUAGUGAAUAAAUGUCUCAAAAGGGCCACAGGUUCCUAUUAAUGUUAAAACCUUGAGAUGAGCUGUCCAUUCUUUUCAGAAGUUUAACUACAGACAACUGAAUUAAAGAAGAGACCUAGGACAACAGGUGUAGCUGAAGAACUUAGGGACUGGGAAGGAAACCAGCGAAUGCCUCUCUUGUUUUCUGACCCUACUGUCAUCUCAAAGAGCUGCAGCUUCUCCUCAGCUCCUGCAGUUGAGAGGUUGUUCCACAAGUUGCUUCUGACGGUUUGGAACUUUAUUUUACAUUUCCAUCCUAAACUUAGUUGGGGACGGCUGCAGGCACAACACCAAAUGAUCACCAUCAUCUCUCUUUGCUUCAAGUCGUGUUUCCCU